GCCUACGGGGGGCAGCAGUAGGGAAUCUUCCACAAUGGGCGAAAGCCUGAUGGAGCAACGCCGCGUGGGUGAAGAAGGUCUUCGGAUCGUAAGACCCUGUUGUUAGAGAAGAAAGUGCGUGAGAGUAACUGUUCACGUUUCGACGGUAUCUAACCAGAAAGCCACGGCUAACUACGUGCCAGCAGCCGCGGUAAUACGUAGGUGGCAAGCGUUAUCCGGAUUUAUUGGGCGUAAAGGGAACGCAGGCGGUCUUUUAAGUCUGAUGUGAAAGCCUUCGGCUUAACCGGAGUAGUGCAUUGGAAACU
rnacentral:rRNA from 1 species